rnacentral:rRNA from 1 species
UACGUAGGGUGCAAGCGUUAAUCGGAAUUACUGGGCGUAAAGCGUGCGCAGGCGGCUUUGCAAGACAGAUGUGAAAUCCCCGGGCUCAACCUGGGAACUGCAUUUGUGACUGCAUGGCUGGAGUGCGGCAGAGGGGGAUGGAAUUCCGCGUGUAGCAGUGAAAUGCGUAGAUAUGCGGAGGAACACCGAUGGCGAAGGCAAUCCCCUGGGCCUGCAUUGACGCUCAUGCACGAAAGCGUGGGGAGCAAACAGG